CAGCCGCCGCGGUAAUACGGAGGGGGCUAGCGUUGUUCGGAAUUACUGGGCGUAAAGCGCACGUAGGCGGCUGUGUAAGUCAGAGGUGAAAGCCCGGGGCUCAACCCCGGAAUAGCCUUUGAGACUGCAUAGCUUGAACACGGGAGAGGUGAGUGGAAUUCCGAGUGUAGAGGUGAAAUUCGUAGAUAUUCGGAAGAACACCAGUGGCGAAGGCGACUAUCUGGGCCAACACUGACACUGAGGCACGAAAGCGUGGGGAGCAAACAGGAUUAGAUACCCGUGUAGUCCCUGUCUCUUAUAC
rnacentral:rRNA from 1 species